rnacentral:rRNA from 1 species
AGAGUUUGAUCCUGGCUCAGGACGAACGCUGGCGGCGUGCUUAACACAUGCAAGUCGAGCGAUGAAACACCUUCGGGUGUGAAUUAGCGGCGAACGGGUGAGGAACACGUGAGAAAUCUGCCUUCAACACUGGGAUAACUCCGGGAAACCGGGGCUAAUACCGGAUAUGAAAUCUGCGGGCAUCCGCGGAUUUGGAAAGUUUUUCGGUUGAAGAUGAUCUCGCGGCCUAUCAGCUUGUUGGUGAGGUAAUGGCUCACCAAGGCGACGACGGGUAGCCGGCCUGAGAGGGCGACCGGCCACACUGGGACUGAGACACGGCCCAGACUCCUACGGGAGGCAGCAGUGGGGAAUAUUGGGCAAUGGAGGAAACUCUGACCCAGCGACGCCGCGUGCGGGAUGAAGGCCUUCGGGUUGUAAACCGCUUUCAGCAGGGAAAAAGCGAAAGUGACGGUACCUGCAGAAGAAGCACCGGCUAACUAUGUGCCAGCAGCCGCGGUAAUACAUAGGGUGCAAGCGUUGUCCGGAAUUAUUGGGCGUAAAGAGCUCGUAGGUGGUUCGUCACGUCGGAUGUGAAACUCUGGGGCUUAACCCCAGACCUGCAUUCGAUACGGGCGAGCUUGAGUAUGGUAGGGGAGUCUGGAAUUCCUGGUGUAGCGGUGGAAUGCGCAGAUAUCAGGAGGAACACCAAUGGCGAAGGCAGGACUCUGGGCCAUUACUGACACUGAGGAGCGAAAGCGUGGGGAGCGAACAGGAUUAGAUACCCUGGUAGUCCACGCCGUAAACGGUGGGCACUAGUUGUGGGGACCUUCCACGGUCUCUGCGACGCAGCUAACGCAUUAAGUGCCCCGCCUGGGGAGUACGAUCGCAAGAUUAAAACUCAAGGAAUUGACGGGGCCCCGCACAAGCAGCGGAGCAUGCGGCUUAAUUCGACGC